UACAAAAUAUGACAUAAGACAAGACCAUAACCAGUUCGUAAGAGAAGACAAUAACCAGAUUUCCGUAGUAAAACUUUUUCUAAAUAGUUAAAGGCAAAGCAUUUUCUCACGAUCACUCUAACGGCGGAGAUGAGGAAGAUGGACGGCCACGUCACCGUUCGAUUUGGUCCGUAUCUGGGUUCCACUCACAGUUUCCUUCCUCAUACGAUAUUACGAUCUUAGGAUUUCUCCUCUGGCAAAUAAAAUCUCGCUCCUUUUGAUAUUGAUUCUUGCCGUCGCAAGCUUGAUCCCUGUUUACGGGAUUGUUAGUCACUUGCUAUGUUUUGGAUCUAUCGAGAUUGUAAGAUGGGAGCUUGCUCUUGGAAAAUGAACCAUUCAGUUUCUAAAGAGGUCAUCUCUCUGAUAAACCCAAUCGCAUCGGUGAAGAAACUAGCGACAAAUCUGAUUCUAUCUGCAGUCUGCAGACUUACCGACUUUUGCUAUAGGUGGUGAUGAGAAACUUCUGAUGCAAACUUUUCUUAACGUCAUGAGAAACGCUGUAAAAAAAAAAAAAGUAAGGCUACGUCUCCGUAGUAGCUUCGAUCAUGAAACCUGAGUCCUUGAGAGAAUUACCUUUCCCAGAAAUCUAUCUGGUUCCAAGUGACAAUCACUUCUAUGUGUGCAGGUGAAGAACACGGGGUGUGGAAUUCACACGCAAGGCAUUCCUUUUCGAUUACCAAAAUUGUGAAGCAAGAAAGGUAAUAUUUUUGACUUUUACAUGAUCUUUGAGGGUUCCAGAAGAUUGAGUAAGUGUGAAAAUUAGCUGUUGGGUCAAACCAGAGAUGGAACUGUUGCUCUUUGUCACAUUUACCUUGAGUGUAAAUAUUAGUAUGUAAAGUAUAAGGAUCUCCACUAAUAUUACCCAAGAAGAAUAUUUUGAAAGAAGACAUUAUCGUGUAACUGAUUGUAUGCGUUUUGAAUUUGGUGAGUAAUGUAAGGGAUAUAUAUAUAUAUAUAUAUAUAUAUAUAUAUAGUGGGUGGAGAAUAAUAAGUAAUGUCAAGAGGAGAGUGGGUGAACAAAGGAGGGACAUUGCAUGCAAGAUGUAUUACAGCUUGACGCUCAGUUCCUCCAUCAUUUGGACUCGAGCUAGCUCUUUGCAAACAGUAACGAGCCAAUAGUAUAUCAUAUUACUAAUAUGAAGCGUAACCAUAUGGAGUAACAGAAGAGCUAAAGAGUGAGAAUAUUUGAUCUCUGGCUAGGUUCGUAGGGCUAAUGGAAGGAUGCAUAUGAAUAGAAAGUGAACUACUUUUUGAAGUUUAUAGUUACUACUGCUACCAAGUCGUGGUUCUUCUUUUCUUAUAGUCCAACAGUUUAAUACUAAAAUAUUACUCUAUACAAGUAUUCCUAAACCUACUCUAUGCUUAGUUAAACAUAACAUAUAUAGGACAUUCUAUAUAUGAUGUCCAAUGUAUAAACAAAAAUGUAUGUAAAUAAAAUUAUUUCGAAGACAAUUUUACCCCGCUCCUUGGGCGGGUAUCCACCUAGUACUCUAUUAUAAUACAACAGCGUUAGUAACACAAAUGACUAGACGACAAACUUUGGUGGAUCAGACUAUACCAACUCGAUUAUAUUUAUAUCAUAUUAAGCUCUAGUAGUCAAAGUGAUUUAACGUCAUAGUAAUGUUGAGGUUAAUGCAAAGUGAUUUAACGUAUAAGCUCUAUUUUGCUAAAGUAUAUAAUACUGUAUUGGGAUAAUGGUUUGAACUAAUACCAUUGAUUUGCCAUUACUCGAAACUAAAGCCGUAUAAUGCAUGUUGACCAGAUUUUUUUAGUAAGCCAUAACUAAAAGUACAUGACUGUAACACUUUUCUUUGUUAUCUAAUAUUUUGUAUGAUAAAUU